GGUGACGUCAUCAUUGUCUCACGUUUAGCAGCUUUACUUUUGUCUCCAAAAAGUUUGUAACCUUACAAACCGAUCUAUGUAGCCAUUUACCCACGACCUAUAGUUGUCAUGGUAACAGUUGAAUAAACAAACUGGACAACGGGCUGCAGACACUCAGGCUCCAUCAAAAUCUGGUAAUAUUACUGUACCUUUUGAGUCUGCGUGGUUCCUCAUCUUCUCACAGCGUCUCUGCCGGCUUCCUCACCCUUUGUUUGUCAACAAAUGCACGUGGUGUCAGAGGGGGAGGCGUGACCGUUUUUAUGACACUGCAGUUGCACUCAGAGACCUCCAGAUGGCGCCAAAGCGCACCAAAACUGACAACAUCAAUGCUCUCAAGUCUCACGCAUUGGGAGUGAGAGACACACAUUUCAACUUGUUCACACGCUCACACGCCACACCUUGUAUUUCUCACACAUAAAUUACCAGGAUAACGCCCACCAAGUUGCGCCGCUAUUUUUUUUAACAAUGGAACAGAUAGGAAUCAAGGGGGUUUCCCAUAGAGAUCAGAAGGAGCUUGCCACGCACCAGCUAAUCAAAAAAUAUAUAUAUAUAGCUACCCCAACAGCCAAUCAAUAAAUAGCAUUGCUGUAUCCGGGUAAGAUUUAGAUAUUCCUGCUACAACAACGCUACAUUCUGGUUACAAAGAAGACGCCAAUGACAUUUUGAUUCAGACGCUCGCUGAAGUACAGACUGAUCGACGUGGGACAGGACCGUUAUAUUUACAGUCUAUGGAGAAGAGGACCAUAUCAUAUUAUUACAAUUUCAGGAACUACUUCCUUUCCAUGGGCCACAGGAACAGGACAAGGUGAGUGAGGAGUUCCUGGAGUAUCAACUCAUGGAGAUCCCCAUGCCCCAAGAUCCCACCACCUUUAAUGUUGAGGAGUUUUGGGGGAGCAUGUCCUCAGCCAAGAGCAAGGUGACCGGUUUGAGCCAGUUUGGGAGGCUAUCUAAGAUAGCAGCAUUAGUUUUAGUGCUCCCACACUCAAAUGCGGAUGCAGAGAGGGUUUUCUCCAUGGUCGGCCUAAACAAGACCAAAACAAGAAACAGCUUGGCACUGAAUGGAACACUUUCGCCAAUCAUGACAGUCAAAAUGGCUGGCCUGGAACCACAGUGUUUCAAAUGGGAGCCACCAAACCCUGUGCUGAAGGCCUCAAAACCUGCCACUAACACCUACAAUAAACAACACUAACCAUAAUCACACAAACACACACACACACACUCACACUUGAGAGCCCUGCAACAUAUUGAGGC